UACAGAGGGGGCGAGCGUUGUUCGGAAUUACUGGGCGUAAAGGGCGCGUAGGCGGCCCGCUAAGUCGAACGUGAAAUCCCCAGGCUCAACCUGGGAACUGCGUCCGAUACUGGCAGGCUUGAAUCCGGGAGAGGGUAGUGGAAUUCCCGGUGUAGUGGUGAAAUGCGUAGAUAUCGGGAGGAACACCAGUGGCGAAGGCGACUACCUGGCCUGUUCUUGACGCUGAGGCGCGAAAGCUAGGGGAGCAAACGGG
rnacentral:rRNA from 1 species